CGACCGGCGCACGGGUGAGUAACACGUAUCCAACCUGCCGAUAACUCGGGGAUAGCCUUUCGAAAGAAAGAUUAAUAUCCGAUAGCAUAUCAAUCCCGCAUGAGAUGAUAUUAAAGAAUUUCGGUUAUCGAUGGGGAUGCGUUCCAUUAGGCAGUUGGCGGGGUAACGGCCCACCAAACCGACGAUGGAUAGGGGUUCUGAGAGGAAGGUCCCCCACAUUGGUACUGAGACACGGACCAA
rnacentral:rRNA from 1 species